rnacentral:tRNA from 2 species
GGAACGAUGAUGUAAUGGAAGCAUAGCUCCACAGCAAGGGAGAAGGCGUUGGUUCAAACCCAACUCGUUCCC